ensembl:lncRNA
GCUGACGCCAGGAACCGAAGAAUGAGAUUUUUGAACCGGUUCAAUGAGCCGAAUUGUCUGAAAAGAACCGGUUCGCGGAAAUGAAACGGAGUCGGAAUUUGCAUCACAAUUACAGAGAAGAUUGAGCGGGAUCAGCCGAGCGCGAUCUUCGGUUCCACUUCUGUUCCACUGUUCCACUUUUCCUGCAUCCUGAUUGGCCCGUCGUCUGGCUCGUCAUUGGUCGGAGCUCUGUUCCACUUAGCGAGCUUCCCGAUAUGGUCAUGGCGAGUAGCCUGCCGUUGGUCCUUCGCGAAUGUUCCACUUUUUCCUGCAUCCCGAUUGGCCUGUGGGCGGGACCACCUUGCAUUGGAGGCGCGUGCGACGUCACACCAUUCAGUGCUUUUUUUUGAAAGCGAUCGAUCGUCAUUCAUAAUCAUCAUCAUCACUUGCUGACAUUCGUUAAUUUUUUGGAUUUGGAGAGUGUCUUGUAGAAGAUGGAUUACAGUGUCCAGUACCGCAGGGAGGCCUCUGGUGAACUCACCCUUAAACCCUCUCCUGGGGCAGUGGCUCUUGCUACUGCCUACAGGAAAAAUCCCACCCCGGGAUGCUCAUGGCCUGCUGCAAGGGUAAAGGAGGAGGCCAUCGCUUGUGUGGCAGCAGCGGGAGGUGACGUGUCCAAUCGCCAGCUUGUGCUGAGUGAAAGUGCCCUGCAGUUUGGCCAGUACCGUGGUAAAUCCUUUAAAUGGUUGCUUUCCAAUGAUGUUGGUUACGCACCCAUGGUGCUGGCCAUGCAUCAGCGGGAGCAUGAGGGCGGCGACACCACCCAAUCUGCUGUCAUGUCAUUGCUGCUGUAUGCUGGCCUGUUUCCUGACAUGGUGGCUGCCAUCAGCGAGCGCCGGGUCAGAGAAGGCACUGGCACACCAGUCCAGGAAGACUUGGUGCUUGUUGGAUUUGGCAACUUUGCCACCGUGUCCUUUAAGGACCUUUAUGAGGCGAUGGACCUCGACAGAAAAGGUUUCAUCAAGUGGGUGAGGAAGCAGACAGCCAGACCGGGUACAAAGAUGGAAACUCUGCAGAAGUACAUUCAGAGAAGAGAUGCUGAGAUGCUGUCAGAAUCAGCGCCUCCAGUGGUCGCCUCAAUCUCAGCUUCUGCAGAGGAACCAUCUGAUGAAGAUCUGCUUGCUGCAGCGGCACAUAUAGAUGUUCCAGGUGAGCAUUACCUUCCCUUUAAUGGGAUUACAUUUGUGGUUUAAUUAAAGAAUACCGUGCCUUUGUACAUUGUAUAACCUGUUUUGUUAUUUGGUAUUAUCAGCCUUCAGAUGGAUGGUUUUGGAAACAAUAAGGUAGGAGGUGUACUACACCUUCUGGUCAUGCAGGUUAACGUGGUUUUCUUUGUCCUUUUUCUGCUUUUAGUAAAAUUUAAUGACAUCUUUUUUACACUUUAUGGCUUUUUUCCAACACCGUUGCGAUUCUCCACCCUGCUCAGCUUUGAGCAUCUAUCUUUUUAUCACUGCACAUUUAUGUUUGUCAUCAUCUUUUUGUCAUCGCAUCAUUUUCAAUCUUUAAAUGGGCGGCUACAGCUGCAAUCAUUAAUCUUAACAUUCUACUAAUGUUAAAUAGUAGUACUAAUAUCUAGCAGUAGUUGUAGUAAUUGUAUUAAUCUUGUAAUAGUAAAUAACACUGAUUGCGCCACUUCUAUGUAUCUCAUUUACUUUUUACUUUUAUGCCACGCAGCUGAUGUGACUCAACCAUCCAGUCAGCCAGAACCUCUGCCCUCUGCAACGAGAGCUGCUGCACCAGAACCUCUGCCCACAGAAGAACUGUUGCUGCCUGAAGGCUGGAGACAGACUCUGCCCAAAGAGCAGCAUUUGUGGGUCAGCAAGGCUCUUUUCACCAGAGACAAGUCUGGGAGGCUGGCGCUGACCAAAAACCUGCAUCUCUGGUGGCAUCCUCCUGGGCCCUGUCCUCUGUAUACACAGCCUCCUUCAUCACCUGACAGCUUCUAUCAUAGCCAGCAGCUUCUGGGUCUGAAACUGGCUCAGGAUUACACCAGCCCCAGUGAAUAUACAGGAGAGCUCUUUGGUGUGGAAUAUUUGUAUUCCCAAACCAGCAGAGCGUUUGAGGAAGACUUAGGUGUAGAUCCUGAUAUUCCAGAUGGAAUUCAGGAUGAAGACCUGCAGGGUGAUCUGGAGGGUGAUGAGGGGUUUGAGGAUCUGUGCCUUGAUGAGCCCAUUGAAUUUUUGGAACUCGAGGGCAAUGACCUGCAGCCCCCUCAGGAACAGACAGUGGCCCUACAACCUCCUGGUCAGCCCUCAUCAUCAGCAGCAGAGUCUUCCUCUCCUGUCUUGGCCACUCAGAGCCAGAUGAAGAGUGUGGGACCAGAUGGCCAAGCUGGUUAUGACCACGUCAUUAGGCUAGCCGACAGUCUGGUUGACCUGCCCCAUCAGGGGUUUGUCACUCAGAGUAAGGUGGAUGAGAUUGUCGUGCUGUGGAACAACCUGUCAGAUCAUGACAAGGGCCCUCUCAUCUAUAUGCUUCCUUGGUGAAGGUGGACCAGCUCAGUGGCCCAGCACAAGCCGAGUAGUGGAAGCCAUCUGCCUGGCUCUCUGCUGAAUUUACCCUGCCGGUCAGACCAUCGCCGGGGUCCGGGUAAACCAAUGGGCUGCCAUCCUAAGGGAUUACAGGAGGAUCCGAGACAUAGUCCUGGGCAGCCCCGGAAUCAUGGCUCAGACAAAGUUAAAGGUCUUUAAGCUAAACCAGCUCACUAUCUCCCAGUGGUACGUUCAGUAAUUGUACAGCGUGGCGGCGAAAGAAGCUGGCAGAGGCAGCCGCUGCAGCUCAAGGUUUGAACUCUAAAAAACAACAAAUACCUCAGCAGUUCCUCUGCCAAAAGUGUGGCCAGCCAAAGACUAAAGAAUUUGGCCACAGCCAGUUCCGGGGUGUCCACUUUUGUGCAAAGGCUUCUGGGAAGACUGUGGCACAGUGGAUGGAGGAAGUCAAGAGAGGAGAGACUAAAUAGACAAGGAC